CUUCUCCUCUUUUCGCCCUCCUUCGAGUCGAAGUCACUCCUUCCCUCUUCUACCUCGCCUCGACCCUCGACGCGACCAGCGACUCCUCCCCGACACCGCAACUCAACUGUCCUCAAGGACUUGGUGGAGGAAGCGCUGGUCCGCUGUGGGUCGAGGGCGACGUCCUUCGUCGUCCACCAUCGACUUGCAGCUCGAGGGCCAACAUCAACACGUUAUUAGGGUCAACAACUCCGCCUAAUCCACUCUACCUUUUCUCUCGUACAUCUCGAGUCUUGGUAUUUAUGGACGACCUAGCGCGAAUCCUUCGCUGCCAUGCACCCACUGCGGUGCACUGGCGCUCUCACCGCACGCUCAGCUACUCCGUGAGGGCUGUCGUCGACGCUUUCGAACAAGGCAGGUGACUGAGAAGGAGGAAUGCAGGUUAUCCGGUGCUCGAGCUUGGCGUAGCUUUGGAGGGGCGGGACAGUCCUCGUCGCCUCGGGCUCUAUACGCCGGCUGUAUUGCGACGUCGACUUUCGCAACUCUCCCUCGUCGCCCGCAUACCCUCUCUUUGCCCUCCAGGUCUCACCGCCUGCCCUAUACCCAGCGCCGCAUCGUUCGGCGCCUUCCAAGCCUCCAACUUUACCUCCUUCCGUUCACCCGCCGCCUCGUCGCCAUCGCUCGACGGUGGGUUCGAAUGCAUCGACAUUCAGUACGAGUACGAGUCGUGCGGCGGG
rnacentral:misc_RNA from 1 species